GCCUAACACAUGCAAGUCGAACGGCAGCAGCACCUAGCUUGCUAGGUGGCUGGCGAGUGGCGGACGGAUGAGGAAUGCAUCGGAAUCUGCCUUCUUGUGGGGGAUAACCUGGGGAAACCCAGGCUAAUACCGCAUACGCCCUUCGGGGGAAAGCCGGGGACCUUCGGGCCUGGCGCGGGAAGAUGAGCCGAUGCCGGAUUAGCUAGUUGGCGGGGUAAAGGCCCACCAAGGCGACGAUCCGUAGCUGGUCUGAGAGGAUGAUCAGCCACACUGGGACUGAGACGCGGCCCAGACUCCUACGGGAGGCAGCAGUGGGGAAUAUUGGACAAUGGGCGCAAGCCUGAUCCAGCCAUGCCGCGUGUGUGAAGAAGGCCUUCGGGUUGUAAAGCACUUUUGUACGGGAAGAAACCCGGCCGGUGAAUAUCCGGCUGGACUGACGGUACCGUAAGAAUAAGCACCGGCUAACUUCGUGCCAGCAGCCGCGGUAAUACGAAGGGUGCAAGCGUUACUCGGAAUUACUGGGCGUAAAGCGUGCGCAGGUGGUGCGUUAAGUCCGAUGUGAAAGCCCUGGGCUCAACCUGGGAAUGGCAUUGGAUACUGGCGUGCUCGAGUACGGUAGAGGGUGGCGGAAUUUCCCGGUGUAGCAGUGAAAUGCGUAGAGAUCGGGAGGACACGUGGCGAAGGCGCACCUGGACCAGUACUGACACUGAGGCACGAAAGCGUGGGAGCAAACAGGAUUAGAUACCCUGGUAGNCCACGCCCUAAACGAUGCGAACUGGAGGUUGGGUGCACUUAGGCACUCAGUCUCGAAGCUAACGCGUUAAGUUCGCCGCCUGGGGAGUACGGUCGCAAGACUGAAACUCAAAGGAAUUGACGGGGGCCCGCACAAGCGGUGGAGUAUGUGGUUUAAUUCGAUGCAACGCGCAGAACCUUACCUGGCCUUGACAUCCACGGAAUCCCCCAGAGACGGGGGAGUGCCUUCGGGAACCGUGAGACAGGUGCUGCAUGGCUGUCGUCAGCUCGUGUCGUGAGAUGUUGGGUUAAGUCCCGCAACGAGCGCAACCCUUGUCCCUAGUUGCCAGCACGUAAUGGUGGGAACUCUAGGGAGACCGCCGGUGACAAACCGGAGGAAGGUGGGGAUGACGUCAAGUCAUCAUGGCCCUUACGGCCAGGGCUACACACGUACUACAAUGGGAAGGACAGAGGGCUGCAAACCCGCGAGGGCGAGCCAAUCCCAGAAACCUUCUCUCAGUCCGGAUCGCAGUCUGCAACUCGACUGCGUGAAGUCGGAAUCGCUAGUAAUCGCAGAUCAGCAUUGCUGCGGUGAAUACGUUCCCGGGCCUUGUACACCCCGCCCGUCACACCAUGGGAGUGGGUUGCUCCAGAAGCCGCUAGUCUAACCUUCGGGAGGACGGCGACCACGGAGUGAUUCAUGACUGGGGUGAAGUCGUAACAAGGUAGCCGUAUCGGAAGGUGCGGCUGGAUCACCUCC
rnacentral:rRNA from 2 species